CUGCGCCGCACUCCUGCAUCUGUGAUUCGGCUGAAGAAAGGACAAAGUGUUCAAACAGAAAAACUCCUGGUGAAGCAGCUGAGAUUGACUUGACACUAUUAUAAAGAUGAGAGUGAAGACAUGAAGACUGAAGAAACAUUCAGAGUCAAACAUGAAGAUACUGAGGAACAAACAGACCUGAUGACACUGAAAGAGGAGAGUCAAGAACUGAAUGAAACAGAAGAGAAAGAUCAGAAUGAAAAUAUCACGAUUUCAAAAUCGAAGAAAAACUGAUUAGUUGCUCGCAAACUGAAGAGAGUUCCUCACCAAAAAGCCCUCAAAAAACACAAACUACAAACCUUAAUCCCCACUUGGUAAUUCAUAAUGGAGAGAGCUCUUUCACCUGCCAAGUGUGUGGAGAAAUUUUUGAUCGAAAAGAAAGCCUUAAAAUCCACAUAAAAACUCACUUUGAGAAGAAGCCAUUCAUAUGCACUCAAUGUGGAAAGUGUUUUACACAGAAAAAAACCCUUAAUGUCCACAUGAAAACUCACUCUGGAAUGAGACCGAAUGAAUGUGAUCAGUGUGGAAAGAGUUUCACACAUAAAAAAAUCCUUAAUGUCCACAUGAAAACUCACACCGGAGAGAAACCUUACACCUGCCCGCAGUGUGGAAAGAGUUUCACGGUUAAAGGAAACUUUAAGAUUCACAUAAGAAGUCACACUGGAGAGAAACCUUUCACAUGCAAGCAGUGUGGGAAGUGUUUCAGAAAUAAUAAUCUUAAUAAUCACAUGAGGAUUCAUUCAAGAGAGAACAGUUUUAAAUGUCAUCAGUGUGAAAGGAGUUUCACAGACACAAAUCACCUUGAGGAUCAUGUUAAAGUUCACAUCGGAGAAAAGCCUUUUAUGUGCCUUCACUGUGGAAAGAGUUUUAAAUACGAAGCAAACGUUAAGACUCACAUGAGAGUUCACACUGGAGAAAAGCCUUUCACCUGCUCUCAGUGUGGAAAGAGUUGCACGACUAAAGGAAACCUAAAUGUUCACAUGAGAAUACACACAGGAGAGAAACCUUACAAGUGUGUUCAGUGUAAGGAGAGUUUCACAUAUCAAAGUGACCUGAAACAGCAUUUGCUGACUCAUUCUGGGAAGAAAUAGCUGUAAGUCCAACAAGAGAACAUUGGGUCAUUUAUUUUGGUUCUGUCCAAAAAUGUGCAAGUUCAGGUGUGAAGUGUUUUGUUUUUAUUCAAGGGUAUUUAAGACAGAUUUUCCUCAUGACAUAGUUGUUGCUAUAUUAGGCUGUUCUCUGUAUUUGGAGACCUAUAGUCCCAAUCAUAGUUCCUGCAACUAACACACAACACACAAUGAUGCAUUCACAAUUAAAAACAAAUUUCUCAUCCUGUUUUGAGUGAUUCUGCUGCUGCCGUCCUACAAUAAUGCAUUCAUUAAGCAGAUGCAAUUUUCCAAUUUAAAAUCAGUGUCAGCACGGAGAUGCUGGUUAUCGCUUUGGUUAUGUUAUGGAUCGGUUUACUGUUAUUAUGUCAUCAUAAUGCACUGAAGUCAGAUGUUUGUCUUGUGUUCUUUCUCUUCUUUUGGGUCACAAUUGCCCCUUCAAAAAGUCAACUUUCCUCCUACCGUUCAGUUCCUUCUCCAUCCAAAUGCAGCCACAGGACCUCUGCUCUUCUACUUCUUUACAAACCACCAAAAGGCACCAAAAAUCUUAUUUAGAUGAGCUUAUAAAACAUGUGUAAUUGAUAAUUGGUUAGGUUAGGGUUAGUCAAUUAGUCAUGACAUAAUGAUACGUCAACAAGUCAUGAAUUCAAGUUACUUUAUAAGUAAUUAAUAUUGAGUUAGCAAUAAUGUGCCUUAUUUUGCACCAGUAUAUCCAAGAUGAUUA